GUUUGCACUUGUCGGGGAAGGGUGAGAACCUUCGAUUAAGGUUCGACUCGAGCGAAGCGAGAGAACGUUGCCAACGGCAACGGCCCGUAGGGUGAGGAGCUAAGCGACGAAUAAUCCUUCCCCCACCACCA
rnacentral:sRNA from 2 species